rnacentral:lncRNA from 1 species
CCCUAAAGACUACAGGGAUUUCUUCAGCAGUCCAAUUGUUUAGCUCGCUUCCAGGCUCAUAAGGGCAGAUCUCCAACAAAUCCCUCCUUUCCGUUGCUUCUAUGGCGUUAGUAUAAACGUUUUCCAACAUUCCUCCCAUGCCGCUAACGGACACUCCACAUUCAGAAUGAAUAAAUCCUCCCGACACAAAAGAUGUAGAUAUGUGGGGAAAGGUUAAAGGCUCACACUUAGCUUCAUGUCCAUUCAAACGCGCCCUUCUUCUCUCUUGUCUCUUCUCUACUUCUUUCUUCUUCUGCUU